AAAAAAAAAAAAAGAUAAGAGGAAACUUCAAAGCAGAGCGUAUCUGUUUUUUUGGGUCAAAGUCUGACCGCAUCUAAGACUUUAACUUAAACACGAGCGUACCUUAAAACAUUACUUUUGUAAGAUUAAGUAGUCACUGAGGUAGAUAUGUAAGAAAACGUAAAAAAGGAAAACGAAUCUAAUAUAUUUGAACAAAAAAAAAAAGGAAAACAAAUCUAAUAUAAUGAUGGGCUAGGCUAAUUGGCGAAAUAGCUAAGUCUGGGAGAGAAAUUAAGUAUAUGAACAUGAUUUUGACAUAAUUAAAUGGAUAUCAAUUGUCUCUCACCUCAUUCGGUUCUACCCUCCACGCUUACAAGUCUUCGGUGAAAGAGAGAGAAAUAGAUGACGUUUCGCAAAUUAAAUAGAUGACGAUGUGAUAGAGAGAGAGAUGACGUUGCGGGAAGGAGGAAUUGAUGAUAUUCACCAUGCACUGUGCAGAUCUUAAGGACAGAGUAGAAGCCACGUCCUCAUGAAAAUAACCGCAUGCUAUUUACUGAG
rnacentral:lncRNA from 1 species